rnacentral:rRNA from 1 species
UACGGAGGGGGGCUAGCGUUGUUCGGAAUUACUGGGCGUAAAGCGCACGUAGGCGGCUUUGUAAGUUAGAGGUGAAAGCCUGGGGCUCAACCCCCAGAAUUGCCUUUAAGACUGCAUCGCUUGAAUCCAGGAGAGGUGAGUGGAAUUCCGAGUGUAGAGGUGAAAUUCGUAUAUAUUCGGAAGAACACCAGUGGCGAAGGCGGCUCACUGGACUGGUAUUGACGCUGAGGUGCGAAAGCGUGGGGAGCAAACAGG